GUGGGGAAUUUUGGACAAUGGGCGCAAGCCUGAUCCAGCAAUGCCGCGUGCAGGAAGAAGGCCUUCGGGUUGUAAACUGCUUUUGUACGGAACGAAACGGUCCUGGCUAAUAUCCGGGGCUAAUGACGGUACCGUAAGAAUAAGCACCGGCUAACUACGUGCCAGCAGCCGCGGUAAUACGUAGGGUGCGAGCGUUAAUCGGAAUUACUGGGCGUAAAGCGUGCGCAGGCGGUGCUGUAAGACAGGCGUGAAAUCCCCGGGCUCAACCGGGGAAUUGCGCUGGUGACUGCAGUGCUGGAGUGCGGCAGAGGGGGAUGGAAUUCCGCGUGUAGCAGUGAAAUGCGUAGAUAUGCGGAGGAACACCGAUGGCGAAGGCAAUCCCCUGGGCCUGCACUGACGCUCAUGCACGAAAGCGUGGGGAGCAAACAGGAUUAGAUACCCCGGUAGUCC
rnacentral:rRNA from 1 species